GAUGAAGAACGUAGCGAAAUGCGAUAAGUAAUGUGAAUUGCAGAAUUCAGUGAAUCAUCGAAUCUUUGAACGCACAUUGCGCCCGCCAGUAUUCUGGCGGGCAUGCCUGUCUGAGCGUCAUUUCAACCCUCAUGCCCCUAGGGCGUGGUGUUGGGGAUCGGCCAAAGCCCGCGAGGGACGGCCGGCCCCUAAAUCUAGUGGCGGACCCGUCGUGGCCUCCUCUGCGAAGUAGUGAUAUUCCGCAUCGGAGAGCGAUGAGCCCCUGCCGUUAAACCCCCAACUUUCCAAGGUUGACCUCAAAUCAGGUAGGACUACCCGCUGAACUUAAGCAUAUCAAUAAGCGGAGGA
rnacentral:misc_RNA from 1 species